AAAAUACAGAGUACUAUCAUCAAUACAAGUCCUUUGACAGUGAUCGUUCACAACCGAUGUUGACACAACGGUGGGGAAAAAUACAAAAGGUGGUGAACAAAUUUUCAGGAUGUUUUGCAGCUAUAAAUGAAAGACAUGAAAGUGGGAAGACUGAACAAGACAAGAUGCAAAGAAGUUGUUUGAAGCACAAGAAAAGAUUCGGUUCAAUCUUGAUCAUGCUUGGAUUUUGUUAAGGCACCAACCAAAGUGGAUACAACUAAUGCAAGAGCUGGACAUCAAGAAAAGUAAGCCAAGAUCUAAAUCUUCUAUAACUAAUAUCUCAUCAUCUUCAACUACAAGCACUCACAUAGAUAUAGAAGAAGGCACGAACACUUGCUUUCCAAUGUCUAGACCACCGGAUAAGAAGGCUGAGAAAAGAAAGCUGAAAGAAACCACUGAUCAAUUGGUGCAAAUACAAAAAUUACAUCAAGAAAAAAAAGAAAGAGAUGAAAAAAAACUGGAGAUUAUGAAGGAGAAAGUUGAAGUUGACAAGGAGAAACUGCGAGUUAGGAAACUUGAGGCUGAGAAUAGGAAAUUUGAGGCUGAGAUGAAAAUUAUGUCUAUGGAUACAUCAACUAUGAAUCCUGAGCAGAGGGCAUAUUAUUCCAAACUUCAGAUGAAAAUUCUCCAAGGUGAUAUAUGAAGUGUGAGGUUGUUGGUUUCCAUUUUAGUUUGUAUCAGUUUGAGCAACUUCCAGUGAUCAUGUAUUUGACUGCUUGCAAACUCUUUCAAGUUGUCAUUGUUUCCUGCUAUUUGACUGCACGUUUUCCAGUUUGUGUUUCUGUUUUCAAUCCAUUUCAGUUUGUAUCAUGAUGUUGGUUUCAUGUGAUGUUGUAUUUGAGUGCUAUCAAAAUCAAGCUGAUUCUGUUUGCUGCUA